rnacentral:rRNA from 1 species
UCUUCCCUCUUUCUUCGUGCCUAAUACAUGCAAGUCGAGCGAACAGACGAGGAGCUUGCUCCUCUGACGUUAGCGGCGGACGGGUGUGUAACACGUGGAUCACCUACCUAUAAGUCUGGGAUAACUUCGGGAAACCGGCGCUAAUACCGGAUAAUAUAUUGCACCGCAUGGUUCAAUAGUGAAAGACGGUUUUGCUGUCACUUCUAGAUGGAUAUGGGCCGCAUUAGCUGGUUGGUAAGGUAACGGCUUACCACGGCAACGAUGCGUAGCCGACCUGCGAGGGGGGUCGGCCGCCUGGGAGCGGGAACACGGUCCAUGCGACUACGGUAGGCAGCAGUAGGGAAUCGGCCGCAAUAGGCGAAAGCCUGACGGAGCAAGGCCGCGUGAGUGAUGAAAAUCUUCGGAUCGGAAAACUCUGUUAUGAGGGAAGAACAAAUGUGUAAGGAACUGUGCACGUCGUGACGGUACCUAAUCAGAAAGCCACGGCUAACUACGUG